AAACCAAGCACUGUCUGACACAAUUUGAGCUUGCUAUAGCAAGAAAGUCUCCUCUAUUCCGGUGCUGUCUCCUUUAUGAGACAAGCUGUUAUAUAGACUUAAACAGU
rnacentral:snoRNA from 1 species